rnacentral:rRNA from 1 species
GGGCGCUGGAGAAUUGAGGGGGGCUGCUCCUAGUACGAGAGGACCGGAGUGGACGCAUCACUGGUGUUCGGGUUGUCAUGCCAAUGGCACUGCCCGGUAGCUAAAUGCGGAAGAGAUAAGUGCUGAAAGCAUCUAAGCACGAAACUUGCCCCGAGAUGAGUUCUCCCUGAGACCUUGAGUCUCCUGAAGGAACGUUGAAGACGACGACGUUGAUAGGUCGGGUGUGUAAGCGCAGCGAUGCGUUGAGCUAACCGAUACUAAUGAACCGUGAGGCUUAACCUU